UCUAUGGGCCAAGCCACCCUGAACGAGCCCGAUCCCGUCUGGUCUCGGAAGCUAAGCCGGGUCGGGCCUGGUUAGUACUUGGAUGGGAGACCAAGCCAGACCAGGUGCUGCAGGAG
ensembl:rRNA 5S_rRNA 5S ribosomal RNA